CAGUAGCCGCGGGAAUACAGAGGGUGCGAGCGUUAAUCGGAUUUACUGGGCGUAAAGCGUGCGUAGGCGGCUUCUUAAGUCGGAUGUGAAAUCCCUGAGCUUAACUUAGGAAUUGCAUUCGAUACUGGGAAGCUAGAGUAUGGGAGAGGAUGGCAGAAUUCCAGGUGUAGCGGUGAAAUGCGUAGAGAUCUGGAGGAAUACCGAUGGCGAAGGCAGCCAUCUGGCCUAAUACUGACGCUGAGGUACGAAAGCAUGGGGAGCAAACAGGAUUAGAUACCCCAGUAGUCCCUGUCUCUUAUAC
rnacentral:rRNA from 1 species